ensembl:lncRNA
GCCCCACCUCUGGGCCAUGUUCCCAAACCCCCGACCGACAGGGGGAGGCCUCUCCUCUGGGCUCCUUGGCACCUUGUUCACAUCUCUGCUCUGUCAGGGUGCCCUAGCCUGAGCCUGGUGCAUACUGCUGCAUGCCCUGGAGCCAGGGAACGUAGUCUCUCUGCAUUUUGUUUUCCUCGCCUGUAGAGCAGAAAUAAUGCAAAAGCUCCGGGAAAUCUGUCCUUGCCCAGCAGAGCUCCCUAAAGGCAGAGACAAGCCUUAGUUUUUUGUGGGAUCUUUGGUGCCCCACGUACUGGGCAUGUCUCCAGAGAGCGGCAGGAAACUGAGGACCAGAGAGGCUGUCCAGCCGGCCUAAGGCCACACAGAAAGUCAGAGGCAGCACCAAGGUUGGAUCCAGUCUCUUGAUUCCCACUGGAGGACUCUUCCUGACAUUGGGCCGCCUGUCAUCCUUCACCAGAACUGCUAUGGUGGAGGAAGGACACCAGCAGUUACUGAGCAUCUACUAUGUACAGUGUACUUUGUAGGCUUUUGUGUGUAUUAGUUCAGUCACUCCUCCUGACACAUCCGGAAGAAGUGAUGCUAUGCUGUCCAUUUUACAGGUGGGAAAACUGAGGCUAAGGAAGAUGAAGUCCCUGAUCAAGUCACAGUAAGGCGAUGGCAAGGCUGGAAUCCAAACUUAGAUCGGUCUGCCUCCAAAGCCCAUGCUCUUUCUGUUCUCCCUACAACCUCCUGUGGAGAAAUGGGCAUAGCUGGGCCACAGGCCUGGGUGAACGGGCAGGGGGCAGCCAGCCCUGCAUCUCUGUCUCCCUCUGCAGUGGGAGACAUGGGGCUGCUUGAACAAUCAAAUUACAGACAGUGACUGAGGAGUCAGGAACAGUCAGGGCUUAGAUUAUCCUGGUG